GUUUCCGUAGUAUAGUGGUUAUCACGUACGUCUCACACGCGCGAUGUUCCCGGUUCGAUCUCGGGCGGAAACC